UGGGGGAUAUUGCACAAUGGGCGAAAGCCUGAUGCAGCGACGCCGCGUGGGGGAUGAAGGCCUUCGGGUUGUAAACUUCUUUUGCUCUGAACAAGGCGCACCGUGGGGUGUGUUGAGUGUAGGGGUUGAUUAGCGCCGGCUAACUACGUGCCAGCAGCCGCGGUAAUACGUAGGUGGCAAGCGUUGUCCGGAUUUAUUGGGCGUAAAGCGAGCGCAGGCGGUUUCUUAAGUCUGAUGUGAAAGCCCCCGGCUCAACCGGGGAGGGUCAUUGGAAACUGGGAGACUUGAGUGCAGAAGAGGAGAGUGGAAUUCCAUGUGUAGCGGUGAAAUGCGUAGAUAUAUGGAGGAACACCAGUGGCGAAGGCGGCUCUCUGGUCUGUAACUGACGCUGAGGCUCGAAAGCGUGGGGAGCAAACAGG
rnacentral:rRNA from 1 species